rnacentral:rRNA from 1 species
GAAGUCUGACGGAGCACGCCGCGUGAGUGAUGAAGGCUUUCGGGUCGUAAAACUCUGUUGUUAGGGAAGAACAAGUGCUAGUUGAAUAAGCUGGCACCUUGACGGUACCUAACCAGAAAGCCACGGCUAACUACGUGCCAGCAGCCGCGGUAAUACGUAGGUGGCAAGCGUUAUCCGGAAUUAUUGGGCGUAAAGCGCGCGCAGGUGGUUUCUUAAGUCUGAUGUGAAAGCCCACGGCUCAACCGUGGAGGGUCAUUGGAAACUGGGAGACUUGAGUGCAGAAGAGGAAAGUGGAAUUCCAUGUGUAGCGGUGAAAUGCGUAGAGAUAUGGAGGAACACCAGUGGCGAAGGCGACUUUCUGGUCUGUAACUGACACUGAGGCGCGAAAGCGUGGGGAGCAAACAGGAUUAGAUACCCUGGUAGUCCACGCCGUAAACGAUGAGUGCUAAGUGUUAGAGGGUUUCCGCCCUUUAGUGCUGAAGUUAACGCAUUAAGCACUCCGCCUGGGGAGUACGGGCGCAAGGCUGAAACUCAAAGGAAUUGACGGA